rnacentral:sRNA from 1 species
CUUGGUCAUUUAGAGGAAGUAAAAGUCAUAACAAGGUUUCCGUAGGUGAACCUGCGGAAGGAUCAUUAAUAGUGCCCAUUGAUGCAAAUCAUUGGGUUAGAUCUGCCCUUAUCGCAAGAUGAGGGCUUCCAUAUACACCGUGAACUGUGGCUUCGGCCAUCACAAACUGUUAGUAAUGAAUGUAAUAUCAUAACAAAAACAAAACUUUUAACAACGGAUCUCUUGGCUCUCGCAUCGAUGAAGAACGCAGCGAAAUGCGAUAAGUAAUGUGAAUUGCAGAAUUCAGUGAAUCAUCGAAUCUUUGAACGCACCUUGCGCCCUUUGGUAUUCCGAAGGGCAUGCCUGUUUGAGUGUCAUGAAACCUCACCCCACUUAGGUUUUUGUCUAAGCGGUGGUGUAUUGGGUGUUUGCCUUGCUAAAGGCUCGCCUUAAAGAUAUAAGCACCUUGGAUGUAAUACGUUUCAUCCUUCUGGGUGGCUGAUAACCCCACAUAUUCAUGAUCUGGCCUCAAAUCAGGUAGGGCUACCCGCUGAACUUAAGCAUAUCAAUAAGCGGAGGAAAAGAAACUAACUAGGAUUCCCUUAGUAACGGCGAGUGAACCGGGAUGAGCUCAAAUUUAAAAUCUGGCGUCUUUCAGGCGUCCGAGUUGUAAUCUAUAGAGGCGUUUUCCGCGCCGGACCGCGUCCAAGUCUCUUGGAAUAGAGUAUCAAAGAGGGUGACAAUCCCGUACUUGACGCGACAACCGGUGCUCUGUGAUACGUUCUCAAUGAGUCGAGUUGUUUGGGAAU